UAGCAAGUCGAACGCGUUGGCCCGACUGAUUGAUGAUGCUUGCAUCUGAUUGACGACGGUUUACCAACGAGUGGCGGACGGGUGAGUAACACGUAGGCAACCUGCCCAGAAGCGGGGGACAACAUUUGGAAACAAGUGCUAAUACCGCAUAACAACGAAAACCACAUGGUUUUCGUUUAAAAGAUGGUUUCGGCUAUCACUUCUGGAUGGGCCUGCGGCGCAUUAGCUUGUUGGUGAGGUAACGGCUCACCAAGGCUGUGAUGCGUAGCCGAGUUGAGAGACUGAUCGGCCACAAUGGAACUGAGACACGGUCCAUACUCCUACGGGAGGCAGCAGUAGGGAAUCUUCCACAAUGGGCGCAAGCCUGAUGGAGCAACACCGCGUGAGUGAAGAAGGGUUUCGGCUCGUAAAACUCUGUUGUUGAAGAAGAACGUGCGUGAGAGUAACUGUUCACGCAGUGACGGUAUUCAACCAGAAAGUCACGGCUAACUACGUGCC
rnacentral:rRNA from 1 species